rnacentral:rRNA from 1 species
ACCUACGGGGCGCAGCAGUGAGGAAUAUUGGUCAAUGGCCGGAAGGCUGAACCAGCCAAGCCGCGUGAAGGACGAAGGUGCCAAGCAUUGUAAACUUCUUUUGUCAAGGGACAAAAUCAGGCUCGAGAGCCUGACCGAGGGUACUUGAAGAAAAAGCAUCGGCUAACUCCGUGCCAGCAGCCGCGGUAAUACGGAGGAUGCGAGCGUUAUCCGGAUUUAUUGGGUUUAAAGGGUGCGUAGGCGGGCUGUUAAGUCGGCGGUAAAAGCCCGGGGCUCAACCCCGGGGAGCCGUUGAAACUGGCUGU